rnacentral:rRNA from 1 species
AGUUUGAUCAGUGGCUCAGGACGAACGCUGGCGGCGUGCUUAACACAUGCAGGUGGAGCGACGAACCGGGGCUUGCCCCGGGGCAGAGCCGCGAACGGGUGAGUAACACGUGGGUAACCUGCCUCAAUGAUUGGGACAACCCGGGGAAACUCGGGCUAAUACCAAAUGUGUUCACUCCUUCUAAGGGGAGUGAGGAAAGGAAGCUUCGGCCUCCGCAUUGAGAUGGGCCCGCGGCCCAUUAGCUUGUUGGUGAGGUAACGGCUCACCAAGGCUUCGAUGGGUAGCUGGUCUGAGAGGACGAUCAGCCACACUGGGACUGAGACACGGCCCAGACUCCUACGGGAGGCAGCAGUGGGGAAUCUUGCACAAUGCGCGAAAGCGUGAUGCAGCAACGCCGCGUGGGGAAGACGGCCUUCGGGUUGUAAACCCCUUUCAGUUGGGACGAAGCUUCGUCGGUGAAUAGCCGGUUGGAGUGACGGUACCUUCAGAAGAAGCCCCGGCUAACUACGUG